CACUUCAUCGGCGGCACGCAUCAUUAGUCGUGUUGGGCACUACCAGUCGGUAGACAAUAGCAGCAACAGCAUUGACGUGCGCUGGUCAUCUUUCACCCAAUUACACAUUUCAUUUCAAUUCGAUUAGCAGCGCCAGUGACAGCUACCGGAUUCGUGGUGUUUUAGGCGGAUAUUGAAUUUACGAAGUGCUCUACAUACAAUUUGAAGCAACAGGCUGAAGCUUAGAAACAGUUAUACAAAUACUGCGCAAACUAUAAUGACAGCCAACAAACGUCAACACCAGAAUUAAUGAUGUCGAAUGUGGGACGGUUGCUUGUCUAUACGCAAGGGUGUGGACAUCGCACCGCUGUUUUGCUUUGGUGCGCUGCCAAGUCAUGACCGGAUGCACUCACGUGGCAAUGCUUAACAAUUAAUUACAAAUGUCUCGAGAUUAAUGGAGUGGAUACAGAUAAAUGAAAUAAAAAGAAAAAACGAGUUUUGAAAACAGGUCACUGACGCCGAUGCUACAAUGCCCGCUGAUAGAGAAGUACCGCUGCGACGUUCCUGGAAGAAUUGAGUGUACAUCCGC